AUGGAUGAAUCCCUGCUUUCACCAGUGCCAUCACUCCAGCAUUGUCCUGGAGAGGCUUCCACGCAGCACUGUGGGACAAGCCCAGGUGCUCCCUCCUUCACUGCCCACAGGAGGCACUGUGCUGGCUGGGAUCUGCAUUCUGUCCCUGCUUCCACAAGGAAUAUGAGGAAGACUGAGCAGCACCAUCACAGCCUGUUUCUCUUCAGCAUAAGAAUCUUCACAUUAAGAUCCAGCCCUUUCUAUUCACCCUCUUAA
rnacentral:lncRNA from 1 species